UCGAGGGGCAGCACAAGGUAGCAAUAUCUGGUGGCGACCGGCGCACGGGUGAGUAACACGUAUGCAACCUACCUGUAAGAGGGGAAUAACCCGGAGAAAUCCGGACUAAUACCGCAUAAUACUGUGAUUUCGCAUGAGAUUACAGUUAAAUAUUUAUAGCUUACAGAUGGGCAUGCGUAUGAUUAGCUAGUUGGUGAGGUAACGGCCCACCAAGGCAUCGAUCAUUAGGGGUUCUGAGAGGAAGGUCCCCCACACUGGUACUGAGAUACGGACCAGACUCCUACGGGAGGCAGCAGUGAGGAAUAUUGGUCAAUGGGCGAGAGCCUGAACCAGCCAAGUCGCGUGAAGGAAGAAGGUUCUAUGGAUUGUAAACUUCUUUUGUAAGGGAAUAAAGUUCGCUACGUGUAGCGUUUUGUAUGUACUUUACGAAUAAGGAUCGGCUAACUCCGUGCCAGCAGCCGCGGUAAUACGGAGGAUCCAAGCGUUAUCCGGAUUUAUUGGGUUUAAAGGGUGCGUAGGCGGACCUGAAAGUCAGUGGUGAAAGUUUGCAGCUUAACUGUAAAAUUGCCAUUGAAACUCUGGGUCUUGAGUGUAAAUGAGGUAGGCGGAAUGUGUUGUGUAGCGGUGAAAUGCUUAGAUAUAACACAGAACACCAAUUGCGAAGGCAGCUUACUAGGAUACAACUGACGCUGAGGCACGAAAGCGUGGGGAUCAAACAGGAUUAGAUACCCUGGUAGUCCACGCAGUAAACGAUGAAUACUAACUGUAUGCGAUAUACUGUAUGUGGUAAAGCGAAAGCGUUAAGUAUUCC
rnacentral:rRNA from 1 species